AGAGUUACACCCAGAAUGAUCACUAUAUUGUGACCCAGAUGCCCCUUCCAAACACUGCGGCUGACUGCUGGCGUCUGCUCUUCGACUACCAUUCUGAUACAGUGGUGAUGCUCAACGAAUUUGAUAGGAAUGACAAGUCCUGUGCCCUAUACUGGCCUGAAGAGUACGGGUACACAGUGGAGUACGGUCCCCUGAGUAUUGAGCUGUUGUUCUAAUCAGAAGAAGACGCCAACAUUACUGUGAGGACAUUCAAGUUGACACACAGGACAAAGGGAGAGGACCGUGCUGUGAAGCAGUUCCAGUUCAAUGCGUUGCCGGACUACAAGAGUGUCCCAGUGGGGACGUCCAGUCUGCUGCGGCUCACUAAUGCCAUGCAAGAGUGGAUGAGACAGAAC